rnacentral:rRNA from 1 species
GACGAACGCUGGCGGCGUGCUUAACACAUGCAAGUCGAACGGAAAGGCCCUUCGGGGUACUCGAGUGGCGAACGGGUGAGUAACACGUGGGUGAUCUGCCCUGCACUUUGGGAUAAGCCUGGGAAACUGGGUCUAAUACCGAAUAGGACCACGCGCUUCAUGGUGUGUGGUGGAAAGCUUUUGCGGUGUGGGAUGGGCCCGCGGCCUAUCAGCUUGUUGGUGGGGUAAUGGCCUACCAAGGCGACGACGGGUAGCCGGCCUGAGAGGGUGACCGGCCACACUGGGACUGAGAUACGGCCCAGACUCCUACGGGAGGCAGCAGUGGGGAAUAUUGCACAAUGGGCGCAAGCCUGAUGCAGCGACGCCGCGUGAGGGAUGACGGCCUUCGGGUUGUAAACCUCUUUCAAUAGGGACGAAGCGCAAGUGACGGUACCUAUAGAAGAAGCACCGGCCAACUACGUGCCAGCAGCCGCGGUAAUACGUAGGGUGCGAGCGUUGUCCGGAAUUACUGGGCGUAAAGAGCUCGUAGGUGGUUUGUCGCGUUGUUCGUGAAAACUCACAGCUUAACUGUGGGCGUGCGGGCGAUACGGGCAGACUAGAGUACUGCAGGGGAGACUGGAAUUCCUGGUGUAGCGGUGGAAUGCGCAGAUAUCAGGAGGAACACCGGUGGCGAAGGCGGGUCUCUGGGCAGUAACUGACGCUGAGGAGCGAAAGCGUGGGGAGCGAACAGGAUUAGAUACCCUGGUAGUCCACGCCGUAAACGGUGGGUACUAGGUGUGGGUUCCUUCCUUGGGAUCCGUGCCGUAGCUAACGCAUUAAGUACCCCGCCUGGGGAGUACGGCCGCAAGGCUAAAACUCAAAGGAAUUGACGGGGGCCCGCACAAGCGGCGGAGUAUGUGGAUUAAUUCGAUGCAACGCGGAGAACCUUACCUGGGUUUGACAUGCACAGGACGCCGGCAGAGAUGUCGGUUCCCUUGUGGCCUGUGUGCAGGUGGUGCAUGGCUGUCGUCAGCUCGUGUCGUGAGAUGUUGGGUUAAGUCCCGCAACGAGCGCAACCCUUGUCCUAUGUUGCCAGCGGGUUAUGCCGGGGACUCGUAGGAGACUGCCGGGGUCAACUCGGAGGAAGGUGGGGAUGACGUCAAGUCAUCAUGCCCCUUAUGUCCAGGGCUUCACACAUGCUACAAUGGCCGGUACAAAGGGCUGCGAUGCCGUGAGGUGGAGCGAAUCCUUUCAAAGCCGGUCUCAGUUCGGAUCGGGGUCUGCAACUCGACCCCGUGAAGUCGGAGUCGCUAGUAAUCGCAGAUCAGCAACGCUGCGGUGAAUACGUUCCCGGGCCU